UCCGCCGGGGGCGCCGCCGCCCGUGCGCCCAGCCCUCAGUCACGCUCGCGCCGCUGGCUCCGCGCUCUUGCGGCGGCGGCGGCGGUGGUGGCGGUGAAAAGACGCUCUCCGCGGAGACAGCCCGGAGGAAGGAGGUAACAUCAUUGCGGCUCUAUAACUGAUUCAACGUGGAGGACGGAGAGAGGAAAAACCAGAGAGCUUCCAGGUUUCCACCAAGGAAUUCGGAACAGGAUGCCUUAGAUGGUGAAUACAGGAGCCACUGCCUUAGCAAGAGAGAGCUGGACACAGAGGCUUGCAUUUAGAAGAGAAACCGGUCUGGAAAAGGCUGUCCGGGAGCAAGCCCUGCCUGGCUGGCAUGUAGCAGAGCUGCAUGGGGGAGGCCUCACAGGCCCUGCCAGGCAGCCCGGGAGGCACAGGCCGCCCUUAGAGACAAGACAGAGGCUGGACACAGAGCCUGCCUGGCCGAGACCUUUCCAGUGAAUUCUGUGCCACCAGAAGGACAGGGCAGCCCCAGUGGACUCUAGGCUUUGUCCCUGCAGGAGCCUGGCCUCCCAGAAUCCGAGCCCUUCACUGGACCCAGCUCCAUGGCCUGCAGGCAGGAGGCCAUCAGUGCACGCGGGCCGGCGUGGUGUGAAUUCACCACCCUGCCUCUCUGCUCCUUCGUACUUCCCAGGAGGGGAAGUACAAUGGGCGUGUCCAGCAUCACAGGACAGAAACUCUCCGCAAAAGCCUCAGACUAGACUGAGAGAGACAUUAUUCACUUCCGAAUGCUCCAAACAGCAAAAGAGUGAGCCUGGGGACAAGAAAAGUAUUCAGGACUGUAAAUAUUUAAGGAGCAACCACUCAAUGCCAAGGAUGCUGGGCUCGGAGCCUAACCACAUUCAGGAAGAGACCAGCGUACAGCACAAAAGACUUAGGUUUUCACAUUUGUUUGAAAACAUAAGCAGUUACUAAGUAAAAAUUAAAAGACUGGCUUUGUGUGGUGGCUCAUCCCAGCACUUUGGGAGGCUAAAGCAGGAGGAUCACUUGAGGCCAGGAUUAUGAGACCAGCUUGGCCAAUAUAGCAAAACCCUGUGUCUAUAAAAAAUUUUUUUAAAUAGGCCAGGCAUGGUAGUGUGCACCUGUAACCCCAGCUUUGCGGGAGGAUCGCCUGAGCCCAGGAGGUCACGGCCGCCGUGAGUUGUUUGCAACCACUGCACUCCAGCCCGGGUGACAGAGCGAGGCCUUACCUCACGAGGCGAAAAAAAAAUUGAAAUAGGUUGCUUAGUUAGGAAAGUCAUAUUCAUGGCCCUAAAACUUUCAAAGAAACUGUCACAUAGGGCACAAGAAGGUAAUUCGGUUUACUUGUCUUCCUCUUCAGCCCGAUCACAUCAUCUUUGUAAAAUUCCCUUUCAUUCCUUUCGAAUGGGACUUGCGCUUUUCAACUGGAAUGAUGCUUUUCAUCAUACACUUAGAGAGGGAUCUUGGCUAACGUUUUUCCCAGAGAAGCUGACUCUUUUCUGGACACUGCACUCAGCAUAUUUUAGAGACACAGAUCACAGCACAUGUUUUCCAGAAGGCACACAGCUAUUGGAGGGAGAUGGGAGGAAUUUCCACGUCAUUCUUUUACACUAAUUCCUAAGAAGGAGUUUGUGAGGUUUGGAGUGUCAUAAGAAAUACAUGCAUAAAUGGCCAUAAUUACAGUAUUAGUUAAAGGCUUGAUUACUGACAGACAGAUGAAUCCAUUUCAAGUCUAAACAAUAAAAUGACAAGCUAUAAAGGUGGUUCUCAAAUUAUUCCCUGGGGGCGAUAGAAAGCUGUGUUCUAAAAGUAUUGUAUUUGCAAAAUGCCUGAAGCAAGCAAAACACGCUGCUGAGGGAAAGUCAUUUCCAGAAUUCAAAAUUUUGAAAUGGCUAUGAACCCUAGCACAUUAUUUGUAUCCUGCUAGGUUAGGAGUUUUGAAAAACUAGGUAAGUUUAAUUUCAAAUUGUAACUUCUUAGGACUGAAAGUCUCCUGAUAACUAAAAUGUGACCUGUAAUUUCAUGGGAGAAAAAGUGAUAUUUAUGGUAAAUUUGAGCCCGUUAUUGGAAAAAUCUUCUAAAUAUGUAAGUUUUUUAUGAGAGAAAGAUUUGAAGGCAAAAAAAUGUUUCCAACUAGUGGAUCAUGAAACAUAAAGUGACAGUUUAUAACAUUUUAAGAAUAAUAACCAACCUCCGUGAAGGGGAAAAAUAUUCAUGGAGUACUUUUUCUGACCGUGAGUCAUGCUUAGAAUUUUCUCACCCAACCAAAUAUAUAUAUUCACCAUCUACCUUUACAAUUCACAUUUAAAAUGUUAAUACAGACAAGGUGCAGUGGCUCAUGCCUGUAAUCUCAGCACUUUGGGAGGCUGAGACAGGAGGAUCACUUGAGUUCAGGAGUUCAAGACCAGCCUGGGCAACAUAGUGAGAACUCGUCUCUACAAAAUAAAAAUCAAAAAAUUAGCCAGAUGUGGUGGCACAUACUGGUAGUUCCAGCUACUCCAGAGGCUGAGGGGGGAGACUGCUUGAGGAGUUUGAGACCGCAGUGAACUAUGAUCACGCUGCUGUUCUCCAGCCUGGGCAACAGAGCGAGACCUUGUCUCCAGAGAGGGGAAGAAAACUUUAAUACACUUUACAUUUAUUUUGUGCAAGACGUAAGAUAAGAAAUAUGUUUUUUAAUGAUAAUGCAUUCCAAUAUACUAUUUCUCCGGUUCCUGAGAUUAUGAUAUCACAAACUCUUGCGGAAACUUUAAUAUGUUUCUGAAGUUUCUGUUGAGUUCCAGUGAUUGGUCUAUUUACUCCUUGACCAGCAACAUACUGGUCAUUACGUUGAUUAUUUGAUUAUUAGAUUGUAAAUUUAUAUGUUUAAUAUCUAGUAAGAGUGUACUCCUCCUCCAAAAUUAAAUGUUAUUUUACCAAAAAAAAAAAAAUCUUGUAUAUUCAAACAAAUGUAUUGUUCUAGAUAAAUCAGGAUAAUUUUGGUAAGUUCAAAAACAAAACCCCAGUGGAGUUCUAUAAAUGUAAAAGUAUUAUAUUACAUUUUUAGAUUCUACAAAUGGAUUCUAUCAACUUGUGUUCCGUAUAUGUGAGAAUUAAUACAGGAAGUCCUAGCCAGAGCAAUCAGGAAAAAUAAAGAAAAAAAGGACAUUCAAAUUGGAAAGGAGGAAGUCAAAACUAUCUGUUUAUUGAUGAUAUAAUUCUCUACCUAGAAAACCCUAAAGACUCCUAGAUCUCAUAAAUAGAUUCAGUAAACUCUCAGGUUAUAAAAGCAAUGUAUACAAAUCCAGAGCAAUGCUAUCCACCAACAAUGACCAAGCUGAGAAUAAAAUAAAAAACCCAGUCCCUUUUACAAUAAAUACAAAAUAGCUAGGAAUAUACUCAAAGAGGUGAAAUAUGUCUACAAGAAGGACUACAACAUACUGGUGAGGGAAGUAAUAGAUAAUACAAGCAGUAGAAUGUUGCAUGCUCACAGAGUACGGGAGUCAAUACUGUGAAAAUGGCCAUACUGCCUAAAGCAAUCUACAGAUUCAGUGCAAUUCCUACCAACACCAUUUUUUACAGAAUUAGAAAAACAAUCCUAAAAUUUAUAUGAAACUACAAAAAGAGCCUGAAUAUCUAAAACAAUACUAACUGAAAAGAACAACUUUGGAGGCAUCACAUUACCUGACUUCAAAUUAUAUGACAAGGGUUAUAGUAACCAAAACAGCAUGUUACUAGUAUAAAAGUAGAUACAUAGACCCAUGGAACAGAAUAAAGACCCAUAAAUAAAGCCAAAUACUUGCAAGCAAUUAUCUUUGACAAAGCACACAAAACAUAAACUGUGGAAAGGACACCCUAUUCAAUAAAUGAUGCUGGGAAAAUCAGCCACAUUCACAAGAAUGAAACUGGAUCUCUAUCUCUUACCAUAUACGAAAAUUAACUCUAAAUGGAUUGAAGACUUGAAUCUCAGACAUGAAACCAUAAAAAUAUUCCAGGAGAAAACCUAGAAAAAAACUCUUCUGCACAUUGGCCUAAGCAAAGAAUUGAAGACUAAGACAUCAAAAGCAAAGUAACAGAAACCAAAAUAAAUAAAUGGGAUUUGAUGAAACUAAAGAGCAUCUCCACAACAAAAGAAAUCAUCAACAGAGUAAGCAGACAGCAUACAUAAUGGGAGAAAUAUUUGCGAAGUAUGCAUCUGACAAGGAACUCAUAUUUACACUCUAUAAGAAACUCAAACAAAUCAUCAAAAAAAAUCCCAUUAAAAAGUGAACAAAUGCCAUGAAUGGACAAUUCUCAAGACAUACAUGCAACCAAUAAAUAUAGAAAAAAGUGCUCAACAUCACUAAUCAUCAGGGAAUUGCAAAUUAAAACUACAGUGAGAUACUACCUUACCCCAACCAGAAUGGCCAUUAUUAAAAAGUAAAAAACUGCACUUAGGUAUGUUUUUGUUUAACUUGUGGACAAAAGUCUUAUGAAUAGGUGUAAAAAAUAAAUCCUCUCUUGCAACCCAGAACUCAUUGUUCAGUAUGAGUUUUGAUACAUGUAAGAAGGGAUAUUAUGAUAACUUAGACAGUUAACUGAUGGGAGUAUUGAUAGCUAUAAAGGUGGCUUCCUGGCUGGGUGCAACGGCUCAAGCUUUCAAUCCCCACACUGAGGUGGGAAUAUUGCUUGAAGUCAGGAGUUCAAGACCAGCCUGGGCAAGAAAGUAAUAAACACCUCAUCUCCACGAAAAUUUAAAAAUUAACUGGGUAUUGGGGCAUGUGCCUAUACUUGCAGCUAUUCAGGAAAGGGAGGCUGAGGCAAAAGGAUUGAGCCCAGGAGUUGGAGGCUGCACUGAGCUUUGAUGGCACCACUGUACUCCAGCCUGGGAAACAAAGACAGACUUUGUCUCUUAAUUUCAAAAGAUUGAUUCUAGGACUGUAGAAUGGUUAAAACAGCAUAGGAUAUGAGAGAAAUCCUCAGCAGUAUUAAUUUUGCAUUCCAAUUUCAUGUUGACUUCAUAUAAGAUGGCUUUUUGUUUUAAAGACUUUUAUCUUGAGAACCUGAUGACUGGAGUUAAAGGUAUUGGCGUAUUUUCAUACAUCUGUACUAUUCUUGGGUGUGAUCGCUUAGGAAUGGAUAUGAUUUGAACUCAUUCAUGUUAAGAGAGGGUGUCAAAUUGAGAACCAGGCGGAUCCACCACCUACAGUAAAAAGGACCCUAAAAUAAAUUGGUUGAAGAAAUCAGAUCCCAAAGAUUCUUGGUGAAUUUUGAAGUCUUCAUCAGUGUAUCCAUAUUAAAAGGAGGUGACAGAAGCCAAAAUAAAAGAAUUAUGGGCUGACAGGACAACUGGAUUAAAAUAAGCAUCAGUUUCAUUAAAAAGGGCUAACUUGAAGAUAAAUCUUUUCACUCCAGCUCUUUAGAGGAUCUAAUGUGACCUUGAUGGCCAGUGGAAGAAAUCACAACAUGGAAUUCCUUAAAUAAAACUUUAUCGACUUUCAAAAAUAAAAUAAAAAGUCAAAAAACAAUAGAUGUUGGCAUGGAUGUGAUGAAAAGUGAACAUUCAUACAUUGUUAGUGGGGGUGUAAAUUAACACAGUCUCUAUGGAAAACAGCUUGGAGAUUUCUCAGAGAACUGAAAGUAAAUCUACCGUUCAACCCAGCAGUCCCUCUACUGUGUAUCACCCAAAGGAAAAGAAGUCAUUAAAUCAAGACAGUUGGACGUGUAUGUUUAUCAAAGCACAGUUCACAAUUGGAAAGGUAUGGUGUGUGUGUGUGUGUGUGUGUGUGUUUGUGUGUGUGUAUACACCAUGUAAUACUAUUCAGCCAUAAAAGAAUGAAAUGUCUUUUUCAGCAACUUUUACUGAACUAUAGUCCAUUAUCCAAAGUGAAGUAACUGGUGAGUGGAAUGAAAAACCAAACAUUGCCUGUUCUCACUUAUAAGUGGAAGCUGAGCUAUGGGUAUGCAAAGGCAUAUAGAGUAGUGUAGUGGACACUGAAGACUCAGAAGGGGGGAGGAUGGGUGAACGUGAGGGAUAAAUAACUACUUAUAAGGUGCAACAUUCACUACUUGGGUGAUGGGUACAAUAAAAUCUCAGACUUCACCACUAUGCAGUUCAUCCGCGUAACCAAAAACUGCUUGGACUCCUAAAGCUAUUGAAUUAAAAAAUUAAAGUUAAAAUUAAAAAAUAAAAUUCAAAAAAUAAAUAGAUGCAGGUUUGAUAUUGAUAAUAUGUAAAUAGCUUUAAUAAAUUAAAAUAUUAUAAACAACCCAUUAGAAAGGAAUAUGUAAAUAAAUCAUGGCAUAUUCAUACUAUGAAGUACUACGUAGGAGUUAAAAAUGAGAUAUGACUAUACAACCAUAGAAACAACUCCUAAAUGUGCUCUUGAAUGGAAAGCAACCUGGGGAAUAAUAUACUCAGUGUGAAUCUAUUUUUAUGAAAGCUGUAUGUUUGUGUUUAGAUGUCAUGUACAACUAAAAGUGCGUGAAGUUGCCAAUGAUUGUGAGCAUAAGAGAGGCUUUAAAAUCAUAUUUUGUUAUGCAAAUUAAUGGUUCUAUAAUUUAAAAAAAAGAAUUAAUACAAGUCUCCAAUCCAGAAAAGUGCUGUCUUACUAAAAAAUGUUAUGUCUUGAAGUAAAGUGUUAAUUGCUUUGCAGUGACUCUGCACAUUUUUUAAGUUUAUUACUAGUAUUUAUAUAUUUUUAAAUGAAAAUAUAUAGUUUUUUUUUAGCUUUUCAAGUUAUUGCUGCCAUGUUGGGAAAAUAUUGAUUUCUGUGUCUUGGAUUGCUAAUCAAUCAUCCAAUUAGGGUUUGUUAUCAAUUAAAGUAGUGUUAAUCAAUUGAUUCCCUUGGAUUUUUCAGAUAGACAAUCAAAUCAUCUGUAAAGACAGAUGAUGUCGUCUCCUAGUUUGCAGUAUGCAGCUUUGUAUUUUUCUCAUCUUAUUGCAUUGUCUAAAAUUAUUAGACAAUGCAAAUGCAAAUCAAUGAUGAACCAUAUGAGUAAUAGGCAUUUUCUCUUGUUCUUGAUUUUAAUAAAAAUAACUAUUCGUAAAAUUGUUAAUUUUUUUUAGUUUCUGGUUCCAGUGGGUUAUUAGGUUAUUAAGAAAAUGAUAUUCUAACCUUAGUUCUAGCAGCUUUUUAAAAUUCAGAAAGUAUUCUCAAAUACCUUUUUUAUAUUUUUCAAAACUUCCUAUAGUCUUUCUUGACCUUUUAUUCAUUCAAGAAUUAUAGAGAAGCUUUAUUUAUGUUAAAUCGCAUUCACAUUCAAGCAACAGAAUCUACUUAGGCAUGCUAUAUUAUCACUAGACUAUACUGCCAGACAAUAUACACUAAUAAUUUAUUAGAGGUUUCACUUCUGUGAUACUCAUGUAGUUUAAAUCGUAGCAUUUGUUUCUUAAAUAUAUCAUGAUGAUUAUUUGUGAG